UAUCUCAAUCAAUGAUAUAAUACGUAGGUUGAAUCAUCCCAUCUGAUCUGCAGUCGGUUCGGGUCUCGUGCAAGGCAGUGUUGUGAACCCUGUCAGGUCCGGAAGGAAGCAGCAGUAAGCAGAUUUCUGUUUGUGCCGCGAGGGUGCCUGUCCGACUGUAGUUCAGGUGGGAUGAGUUUAUCUACAUGGGAUA
rnacentral:misc_RNA from 1 species